GAAUUUGUGAAGUCGAUGAUGAUGUAAUGGAGACUUGAAGGUUUGAAGUAAAAGAAAGUUUGAAGGAAGAAGAAUGGAAGACAUGUUCUUGACUUGUUAUGUUUGUUUGUUUUUUUAGCUAAGACUUUUUUAUGUUGCUAUUUGUUAAACUUUCAUUAGAAUUUAUGUUUUUGUGAUGUUGGUAUUAUCAUGUUCAUGUUGUGGGGAUUUGACAUUUGAAAUUUGUGUAUUUUACCAUUUUUAAUAGGUAAUUUCGAAAAAAA
rnacentral:lncRNA from 1 species